rnacentral:lncRNA from 1 species
AUGAUGCGAAUUAUCUAACACUACUCACAGUUCUUUAUUGUGCUUUAAAGGACUAUCUCUAUUACUGCAUCCUUCCAGCAUUUGUCUCACCAUUCUGGAACUCAUAAGCAUCUAGAAAGAAAAUUAUGCAUAAGAUUCCCAAUUCCAUAAAUGUACUUUGCAUUCAUUUAUUAAUUUUUGAGGCUCUAUAGCUAUUUAUCUUAACUUAUCGAACUAAAUUUUAUAUAUAUAUAUAUAUAUAUAUAUUAUUUUAUUUAUAACUUGUAAUAAAGGUUCUAAUUAUUUACUAAGUAAUAUUUUUAUAAUAAUAAUAAAUACAAUGAUAAUAAUAAUAAUAAUAAUAAUAAUAAUACUAAAAGUUUUAGUUGUUACUACCUAUUAAGGAUAUAACUGAUUUAGGUGUUUCGCCGAAAAUUUGGCAGCAUUUCCCUUAUAAACUGUACUACCCAAUUUUACAUAUUCUACAUUUCAACACACAGCCCAUCUAUCGGACAAUUCACAUUAACUGAUCCCGUCCGCCCUAACCAUCAUUCAUUUGUUCAUUCAAUUCACAUAGCCCAUUCAUCGGGCACAUUCUCAUUUAAGCUAAAUUCCCAUGAUAUAAUUAAUUGUCUUAUAACUAAUUACUUGUCUAUAUCAUAAAUUAUAAUUCUUCCUAACAAUAUUUAUUAAAAUUCCUACAAUUAACUUACAUAACUAUUAACUAGAAAUUUUUAUUUCAAUAUCAACUUUAUUGUUAUAAUUAAUGUUCAUGAAAUAUAUUCAACAAUAUUCAAUUUAAUUUACUUAAAUACUUAAUUAAAUUCAUUAAUAAAUUAAUUAGGGAUUUAUUCAAAAAUUGCGAAUUAAGCUUUAGAGUGUACCGAUUGAAAAUCAGUCUAUGAUUCCGAAAUCUACGCGAAGAGGAGGUCAUUCUGCCUCUUGAAGCCUCGCCGGACCGCCGCCGCCGGCCGCCGUGCAUGAUGGCUAGAAAAUCAAACCUUGAAGCCUCAGGUCGCUGGAAACGAUGUGAAUGGCUGAAAAAGUUGCUACUAUGGCGUCGCACCCUUUCAGUCGAGUUUUCUCUCAAUCCAGGCUCAAAUCGCGCAAACCAAAGCUUGAAUCAAACUCCUUGCGACGAGUAGAUAUUUUUAGAGUAUUUAUUUGCCGCAUUUGGUGACCGACAGCCGGAGAACGAGAAGAAAAGGGGAGGGGGCUUGUUGAGAGAGAAUGGCGAGUCGUUUCUCUUUUUCUUUUUCUUUUUUUUUUCUAGAAUUUUCUAAUUGGUGGAUGGGGUUUGGGUCGAUUCGAGUCUGGUUUAAUUUAAAUCAUGGUUUUAGCUUGAUUUUUCAAUUGAUUUAUGGAUUUUUCAUCUGGUUUUAGAAAAAUUCAAGCUGGUUAACGGGUCCGAUUUUACAACAAUUAAAUAUUUAUUGUAAAUCCUCAUUGGUCGAUUUAAAAAUUUAGUUUUUAAAUGAAAAUUCUAUGAAAUCAAAUAUUCAAGUCGUUUCAAUUAUGUUAGGAUAUUUGUUUAGAUUUCGUAGACAUAUCCAUGUGGAUCCGACAUGUAUUUAUCUUUUAUUACACGUUUUUUGACACCUCAUUAAAAGUGGAACUCACAUCUAUGAAGUCAGCAAUUCAAAAAUAGAAAUCAGCUACAAGCACAUGAUUACAUUUUUAAAAAUAUUUAAACACCCAGUUGAAAUAUUUUCCUAUCCAAAAUCAGCUAAAAAUACCUAAUUGCAUUUUUAAAAACCUUUAAACACCAGUUGAAAUAUUUUUCCACGAGGCACUCAAAUAGAAAAAAUUAAACAAUUCGUGCCCUGAAAUUACCAAUAUCCCAGAAAUAAAACGUGUGGCUUCACCCGGUUCACAUCUGACGUCGCACCAUAAACACGAGCCAACAACUAACCAGCAAUCGCUGGCUCUUCUUUACCCACGUGUCAUUAUUACUCGAUUCCACGUCAUCAUCCCUCCCCCUAUUUGCUUAAAAGUCCACCAUAUGCGCGCUUGUCUUAACUUCCCCAGAAUUCACUUUUACAUCUGUUGGUUUUUGUUUGUUUCCAUGGAAACUAACUUAACAAAUUCCUCAGGAAAAUUCAUUUAAUUUUCCAUCAUGAGGUAAUGAAUAGAGAAAGAGUGAAAUAAAAUUUUGUAAAUCAUGGCGACGCUAUUGAGAAAGGUGUGGGAAUCGGUGUCAAACCGGGCCAGUUCUUGUUCGAGUCCCAGCAUUGACUCGGCGGAUCGACGGAGUUAUUCCGUGUUAUCUUCGCUUGGAGAUUUUGACCGAAUACCAUUAGAUGUAGUGAUGUAUAUUUUGAGAUUGGUUGGGCCAAAGGACGCAGCUAGAUUGAGCGUAGUUUGUGAGUCUUGGAGGUCACUCGUAUCUGAUAAUCGUCUCUGGAUUUACUUUCUCCAGAACUACUGUGAUUCUUCGGACUCUGUUUUCUUCGCGGAAACCAAUCUCCGGUAUCCUUUCCAGUGAGUUUUCCCUCUUCUUUUUGACGUUUAAGCUCUGUUUGACUGCUCAGAAAGUUCAAGAAAAAUGAAACAGCUAGUGGUGUUGUUUAAGCUCUGUUUGAUUGCCCAUCCUGUUGUGCAUGCAACGACUUUUUACUGUUGAAGUAGUGUUUGUUAGUAAACAAAUAGGGGUCUAUAAACAGAAAUCUGCGCUUUCAUGAGGAGAAUUUUGGAGGAAUUAAUUUAAAUCUGAUGCGAAUUGCUGUCGUUUUUUGUUGGAAUUGAACGAUUGAGAGUCCAAUUUCAUAAUUCAUGAAAAGGAAUUCGUGAUUUUACUUGCAGGGCAUAUAGUGGUCAAAUCACUACGGAGUUGUCAUUUAUGCGUAUAUAUGGCGAGCGUGAACAAGUCCCAGGUUGUAUCAUUAUUGAUGGUGAGUUUUAUAGAUAUGCAGGAUCCCUUUUGAAUAUAUUUAAGGUGGAUAAUUAGUGCGAAAUUACUGGAUGUAAAAUCUGAUUCAUAAUGCCAGUUGAGGUUGUUCAAAUUUGGAAAUAUUUUCUUGUUUUAAGUCGUGGACAGUCUUACGUUUAGUAUAUUAAAUCUGUUCAUGCUGCUUCAUUCUGUUCAAAUGCCGUUGAAUAGGUGGUUCGGGCUAUUGCAAGUUUGGUUGGAGCAAAUAUGCUUGUCCUUCUGGGCGUGCAGCAACAUUUUUGGUGAGCUUUUGCUUUUAACUGGCAGUUUAGAGGUUUGUGGAAGCAAUUUCGCCAAAGUUGGGAAAUUUUUGCUGUUCCUACUUCUAUAGUUAAUUAAUGUUUUUGGUUUCACUAUACUAAAUAGAAUUUACCUUUUUUUUUUUUUAAAUUUAAAACCUAUUCUGUGAUCAUCUGUGUGCAGGAAUUUGGUAAUAUUGAAUCUCCAAUGUACUCCAGGCUCCGGCAUUUUUUCGCUACUAUUUAUGGCAGGUAUGUCUUUUUCUUUUUCCUUUUUUUUAUUUUUUUUAAUCAAAUGACUUUUUUCUCUUCAAGAAGUUGUCUGCUGCAUUUAAGUAAUCUACAAUUACAAUGUAGUACAUUCAAAGGUUUAAUAGUGGUUUGUAUUCUUAAGCAUGCUUCUAGCUGAAUCCAUAUAAUUGAAUUAAUUUUUAACUUCUAAUCCCUCAAUCUGUUAAAGCAUACAAGUUUGCUAGCCCUUUGAUAUUCAUUUUUAUUCUUAUAUUGUCUUGAAGCUAAAGAUUUUUACAAUAUCUCCUAACAGGAUGCAGGUAAAAGCAUCAACACAGCCAAUUCUUGUGUCCCUUCCAAUUUGCCAUUAUGAUGGUUAGACUCUUCUUAGCUAAUUUUACUUAUAUGUAUGUAUGUAAAUGGCCCCUUCAGAGAAGUUAUAAAUAUGAUGGUUCGGGCUAGUUCAAUUUAGUCUAAAAAACCAUUAUAUAAAAAUGGCUUUGGGAGGAAUUAUAAGGUGUUACUGAAUGUUGGCAAUUUUAUUAGUUUCUUAUCCAAGUAUGGGGCUUUCAGUUUAAUGUUAAGGCUGUGGCACUGCAAAUACUUCAAACUUUUGAACCUGAAACUUCUUCAGGCGUGAUGGGUGGCUUUUUAUCGUUUCAAUUAGAUAGGGAAAUAGUUAAUCAUAAGCUUUUGAUAUUUCAUUCAAUAAUUAGAUUUAAUCCUCAGAAAUUUCGAAAUGCACUGCCAUUUACUUGCUUAGUUUUGCUUGAUACCAUAUUUCGUUCUGGUAGCAUAAAAUGUAAUAUGCAUUAAAUUUUUUUUUUUUUAAUUAAAAGGACAAGGUUUUCUUCAUGUCAAAAUUUCUAGCAUCCAAUAAAGUUGAAAAGAAUUUCGUAAUCUUUGUUUGGAAAAUGAUUAGAGAAUUUAAACUAUAUGGUUAUGAUGGCCGGAUUUUAUAUUACAUUGUCAUAAUGCAUUACUGAUGGCUUUCUAUCUUUAUAAUUCCAGAUACUGAAUCUGCCAAAGCAUCAAGACGGCAGCUAAAAGAAGCCAUGUACACAGCUCUGUUUGACAUGAAUGCUCCAGCUGUUUGUGCUAUUAAUCAGGUGUGUUGUGUUUGUUUAUCAAUUUAUUCCUGUGUUUCUUACGGCAUCAAUGGCUCUUAUUCUGGGGAAAAGGGUGAAAAGAACCUAUGGUAAACUACUUCAAAGUCUAAUUACCCGGUGAUCAAAUUAAUUACUUUCUUGGCUUCCUCAAUGGUACUGCCAUUCUUUUUAUUGUCUUUUAAUAAGUAAAGCGGGACUUAGAGGGGCACAACUUUGAUUUAGAUUAUGGGUGCUGCCUGUGGUGCAAAGCAGAUCUUAUGGAGUCCCCCAAAAUGACAAUGUUCUUAAAGAAAGAUUAGCAAAUGUCAGAUAAAUUAAUGUGGGAGUACCCAGAAAAAAAGAUAUGACAAAACUUCAAAUUUAUUUUUGUAUCGCUAAAGAAAUCACUUUGUUUAAAUAUAAAGUAAACUUUUUGUUGCCUGAAUGACAAGUUUAACACUCAGGUAUAUUAUCUGGCAUUCACUGUAAAAAAAUAAAAAGGGAAAUACAUUUGGAAUCCAACAUUUUCCCCGAAAUAGUAUUUCAAUGUAGAAAUUUCUACAAUCUGGGAGCUUCUUUCGAGCAGUUUUGUGCUCUGAAAGUUCAUUCCAUAUUGAAUUCUGUGAAAAACCUUUUUUUUUCCUCUUUUUUUUUGUUUUUUUUUUUGAGUUUUGCAUGGCGAAUUUUAAGUUACUUUCUUGUUUCAACAGCAGAGCAAUCAAGAGAUUCUGCUGUUGUCAGUCUUAUUUUGUAUGUUAAUGCAUUAAAUGUUCUACAGGCAACAUUAGCAUUGUAUGCUGCUAGGCGAACUUCAGGAAUUGCUGUUAAUAUUGGUUUCCAAGUCACAUCUAUUGUUCCAAGUAAGUGAUUGUGUUAUUUCCCUCUAAAAUGCUUUCUUCUGGAAAUUUAUUUGAGAUAAAAUGUUACAUCUGGUGAACUUAAAGUUAGCUUUAUUCUUCUAGAUGCUUAACUAUCCUUCUUGUGCAUUUCUUAUCCUAAGACCUUCUCUGCACUUUUAUAUGUGUCUUGUUGUAUAUUCUUUUUGAUUUAUUCAUCUUCAUUCAUUUAUUGAUCCUUCUUUUAUCUAGCAUAUGCAAGUUGUAUUACUCUUCAUGUUUAAAGAUCUAACCUCUUGCAUCUCAAUAAGUCUUCGAGUAUUUCCAUUAACCCUUAUUUAUUGUUUUAGUUGCUCUUUCAUCUUAAACAUUUAUCCUCUAUCAUUUCUGCACAUUACAGUUUUAAAUGGUAAAGUAAUGCGCAAGAUAGGUGUGGAAGUUAUUGGUCUUGGAGCAUUAAAGGUUACAGGAUUUCUUAGAGAACAGAUGCAGCAGAAUAAUAUCAAUUUUGAAUCACUGUACACUGUUCGUACACUGAAAGAGGUACAAAGUUGUAAUGGUUCUUCCUGUAUCCACAAUGUUGUUAUUAAGCUUGGUGAAAUUCUUAUGGUUGCAUAAUUUUCAACCUAAUUCAAAUCGAGAAUUGUCACUUCAUCCUUCAUCUUUUCAUAAAUUCUUUGAAAUUCUAAAUAAUUCUUCAUGUCACAUGGUAAGAUUUGAUGCCAGUUAUUUCCUUUGCGCCAAAAUCAAACUCAAGAGCACAAUUAGUUAAGUGAUUGUAAUCUAUAAAUAAAUUGAAAACAUCACUUUGUACUGCAAAAAAAAAACUUUGAGCGUCUUGUUUGAACAGUCUGCCCCUGUGGGUAUCCCUCAAGUGUAGGUUGAGGUUGUAAAAUUAUCAAGGCAUUGGACUAGCACUGUGAUUUUCAAUCAAUAUGGUCAAAAUUACAUUUAUGCUCUAAGGUCAGUCUCCUAGAGCCUAGGCACAAAGCACAAGCACACAUCUAAAUGAAAGAAAGUUCAUAUUUCUCGUAGAAAUUGAAACAUUCAGUGGAAAACAUCAGAAGAAAUAAAGUAUGAGGGAGGAAGAGAGAGAAAGAAAGAAAGUAAGUGUUUAACCUAUAAGCUUUGUGCAAUUACACAAAUGAUUUAUGCACAAAACCUACAUUAGAGAUUUAAAUUUUAUAAUAUUCAAACAUUAAAUUUUGGAAGAUACAGUUGUGAACAUGCAGCUGUAACCACAAAAUCUUUUGUUUUACCUUCAGCUUUACGCAACGCAUACUUAUUUUCCUCGUUAGAUAUGCAUAGCCAUGAUGGCAAAUGUCAUUAAAUUGGCUUCUAGAAAUGUGGCAUGAAAAUGUUUGUUUUUUCAGGCAGAGGUCCCAUGGAUAUUUAACUAUUUAUACAUUGAAAAGGUUGAUUAAGAUAAAUGCUGACCAAGGAUAGAAACCAGUUGAUGAUAACAUAACGUAAUAGAAAAUUAUAAAUUUUAUUUUUUCAUCUCUUGGUGCAGAAAUGAAGGAUGUGCACUUUCUGUACCUACAAUGUACUUUAGUAAAUGCAUUCUGCAUUCAUGGAUUAGAUAUUCUCCAUUGACUUUGGACACGUCAUGUUUGCUUUUUAGUCAUGCCUGUAUUAUGUUGCACAAAGAUUGGUAGCCGCUGUUCAGAUGUUCUCUGCUGGUUACAUUUCUAGCAACAAUGUCUGUAGAUUUUCCUGGUCCCUGCAUAAAUUUUUAGGCCAUAUAAUAUUGUUAAGAAAAUGGAUCUGUAUAGCAAGCCUCCUAAUGUCAGAUUAAGGCUUACUUGAGUAUUCAAUAUUAUUUAGAAACCGUGUAGAAUAAGUAAUUUUGGAUUUCUUGUAGGCCUCCGACUGAAUUUACCAAGGUAUUGCAUCUCAUAGAUCUUUUUGAUUGCACAUUCUUGACAGAUCAAUUCUUACUUCCCAUUUUAUAUCUCCACCAUUGUGUAGCUCAGAUUGUCGCUAACAAAGUUUUCAUGCAGAAAAAGGAUAAUUUCUUCAUUCAAUAUGCUUUCUGAUGUCCCAAUUAUUCACUUUUAUGAAUGUAUAGGUUGUUCUUCCAUAUUGAUAAGGCAUGAUGGUUGUUGCUUUGCACGAAUUGGGUUCAAAAUUACAAAUUCUCUUCUGUUGUGCAUACUAACAUUGACCUUGUGGAGUAUAAUUUCGUUCUGAUUGAUUUUGUUCUUUCAUAAUGGAAAUACAGAACCUUUGUUAUGUUGCUGCUGAUUAUGAGGCUGAGUUAUCUAGAGACACACAAGCAUCAUUAGAAGUUCAAGGAGAAGGAUGGUUUACCCUUUCAAAAGAACGCUUUAAAACAGGGGAGAUCUUAUUCCAGCCACGUAUUGCGGGAGUGUAAGUCCAUAUAUCCUCACAAACUAACCUUUUAAGAAUACAUUGGAAUUAUAAAUUUGAAUUACAAAAAAAGAUGCUUUAGUAGUGAUAUUAUAUAAAUGCAUAAGUUUUUUCUUUUUUUUACAAAACAACCACCAGUUUACUUUUUGUACAUUAUAUGGCAUGAGAAUCAUAAACCUAAUCCAGUUGGUUAAAACGCUUCAUUUACCUCAUGACACAGUCGUACAAUGGGUUUGCACCAGGCAGUAGCACUUUGCAUGGACCACUGUCAUGCAGCAGAGUUGACUGGUGAUGAUUCUUGGUUUAAGACUGUGGUAUUGUCCGGAGGGACCGCAUGUUUACCCGGACUAGCAGGUAACUAUAAAGGAUAUCAAUCUGUUUCUGCAAGGAAAAAGAAAAAAAAAAAAAAAAGCAAUACAUGUGCAAGCCACAAGCAUAUGAACUUCUUUUUCCUGAUUUGCUUUCAGAGAGGCUAGAGAAGGAACUGCGUGAGCUUCUUCCUGCAUCCAUUAGCAAUGGAAUAAGAGUCAUUCCUCCUCCAUAUGGUGCAGACACUACAUGGUUUGGAGGAAAGCUUAUCAGCAAUGUAAGCUACCUGAACUUAACCACCAAAUUUCUAUAUAUGCAGUACAUUAUGUGUCACAAAAUGGAAGCAAUAAUCCUAUAUUGAAGUUUGCUGAAUAGAACUUAAUUUAAUUCCUAACAACCAUGGCAGUCUAUCAUGAGAUUCAGUCUGGAUAGAGGGGAGAGAAAAUUAAGUAAUGGGGAGGGUUUGAAUUGAAUAGUGGCAGAGAGAAGAAAAUUUGCAGUUGGAUUUGAGGGUAAAAUUAACAUUUCAAAGCUGGAUGCAGUAGUAGGAUACUAGGAUGUUGACAAAAUUAAGGGAUUAGUUAAUCAACUUUUGGAAAUACAGGCCUUGGCUGAUUUAUAUAUGAAUAUCAUCAUUUCUAGCAAUGAUGAUUUGAAGUCUCAAGUAUCUGGGUCAUUUUAUAAUAUGUUCGGCAAAAUUAGCUGUUUUUGUAGCUGUGAGCUGUUUGAAUAGGUUCAAAAGAUAAACGUUACAUUUGUUAACUUUUUAUAAAAUAUUAUCUUAACUUCUAAAAGCUAGUUUUUUUUUUUUUUAGUAAAAUGCUACCUUAAACUUCUAAAAGCUAGUUUUUUUUAUAAAAUGCUACCUUAAACUUCAAAAAGCAAUUCAAAUGUUAUGUUAACAAACAUCAUGUUACGAAACAUUAUAAAAUAUAGCGUUUAGUUUUGACUAAAAGAUAUUUAAAAAGUUGUUGUCAACAUAGUCAACAACUUCAAUGUUUCUUUUCAUUUUGUAUAGUUGAGCACCUUCCCUGGACCAUGGUGUGUGACAAAGAAGCAAUUUAAGCGGAAAUCAAGAUUCAAUCUGGCAUGGUAAAUACAAGCUCUUGCCCAGAAUUCCAUAUGGUAAAAAUUUAUGAAAUUAUAUAUUUAUUUGUUUUAAAAAAAAUUUUUUUCCUAUUUUAUUGAACUGUAUUGUGAACGUUUGGGCUUACAUUCAUUAGAUUAUUUGUAACAAAGUUCAUGUAAUAUUGGUGUAUAAAUUCCCCUGAUAUAAACUUAAAUUGAAUAUAUUGUAAUCAAUUAUAGUUAAAAGCUGUGAACUUGCCGAUUUUCUGGACAAAGUUGGCAAUAUUCAUAACUUUUCCAGUUUUAUCCUCUCCCUCUAGAUUCUUUUGCUGCUUCUCGUUUUUCUGCAAUUCUACAUUCUUCUACCCUUUCUCAUUAGCCAAACAUAUAUCUAAAAUCCCACUUUCAUCGUUUGCUACAUCAAUGACACGUUUUUCUAAUCUCCUGCCGGUUGGAACUGAACAAAAAAGAAGAAGAAAAAUUGAACCGCCAUUUCUCAUUCUGUACAUCGUCUUUGUUAGUAACAGAACAAAUCUUCCCUAUAUCCAUCCUAAAAAAACUUCUCUAUUAAAAAAUGGUAAAUAGGUGAAAUAGAGAAGUAUUAUUUUAUUUUUCAAAACUCAAUCAACAAAUAUGUCUAAUAUUUUAAAUAAUAAAAAAAAAAUGUAUUAUUUUAUAUCCACUUGAAGCUCGAGAGACCAUCUAGUUAUUAUAUAUUUUAAAAUUCAACUACAACACGAGUAUAUUUCAUAAUGAAUUCAUUAAACAUCACGAGUACAUAUUAUAUAAAUUGAGUAAAUUUGUGUAAAGUAUAUUUGAUAAUAAACUCAUUAAACAUCAUAAGAACGUAUUAUAUAAAUUGAAUAAAUUUGUGUAAAGUAACUGUUAAAGGAAAAUAUUAUAAACAGAUGAGUUGUCAAUUUUCUUUUCACAAGUUAUUUCUAUUUUGGAUACAACGGAGGAAAGAAAUUAAAUUUAUUUUCCUUCAUCGGCAAAAUUUUAAGAGUAAAAAAAGAUGUGAUUAUUGAAAAUUGACAAUUAUAACCUGAUUUAUUUUUAAACAAUAAAAUACGAUUCUAGUUAUUUUGAGAUAUUUAAAUAAUUUAAUAAAAAUAAAUGAAAUUCUAUUUUCAUCCAUCAUUUUUCUAUAAAUAAAAGAUAUUUAAAAUAUAUGGAUUCAGGAGAAAAAUAAGUAAAAAAUUUUACUCUUUUUUUCUAAUUAAGGAAAAAGAUUUUUCUCUAAUGGUUUUAGGAGAUUGGUGAGUAGAUAAGUUGUGAGUUAAUAGGAGUCACGAGAAUAUUCCUUUUUUCUAUCACUUUGUUUAGCUCAAUUCAGAGGGUGACUUGCGUUGAAACAAAAAUUAAAGAUAAAUAAUUUUAAAAUGAUAAACUAAUAUUUCACGAUCAAAUUAAAAUGUCAGCAUAAUUUACCUUACAAAUAUUUAAAAAAAAAAAAAAUUUACCCGACAAAUAUUAAAAAAAAAAAAAAUUUACCCGACAUAUUGGCUUCUAUUCCAAUUUUUUACUGUGAUUAAAAUAAACAACUAAAUGAUUUAAAUAUUUCAAAAAGAUGAAUGACUUAAGUUAUAAAAAAGAAGAGUCUUUAAUCUAAUUAAGAAUUAUCAUUUAUUUGAUAUAAUUAUCCUUUAAACCGCAAAAUCUAGCCGCCGAAACGGAGCAUGAUACUUACUGUUCUUGACUUACCCACAAUGAAUCAAGUCGUCUAACGUCAGGUUAUUAAUUUUUUAAUUAAUUUCAGUAUUAGGAAGUAGAAAAUGAAAGAAAGAAGCAAGCAGCUAUGCCUACCCAUUAAGGGUAUGGCCCAGUUUUCGCGUAAUUUGCUGUAGCCCACUUCUCAUCAUACACUGCUGUAAUUAUCUGUAUUAUUCUAUUCUAUUUUAUUUAGUUUCUUUCUGUUUGUUUUUCUUUGUCCGACUCUUUCUUUCUUUCUAGAUCUUUAAAGCUUCAAGCUUUCUGUUUUUUUCAGAAGAAAGAUCUUAUAUUUUGAACCCAGAAAGUAAAAAUCUUUAUACAAGGAGGGAUAGAUAGAUCUCUCCCCCUUACAUAUCAAGAUGGAUUUGACAAAGUGUUCUGCCAUUUUCAUGUUUCUUCUGUUUGUGUUUCUUUUUGCUCCUCCUUCUUCUGCUUCCAGUUUCAUUUCAGGUACUUUAAGUUUAGUAAACGUGUGUGUUCUAGUAUAUGGGUUUUGAUUGUGCCUGUUAGUUGAAUUUUUUUUAUCUUUUUGGAAAAGGGUUUAAUGGUAUUGUUUAUCUGUUAUUGACUUGGAUCCAGAUUCUGUUUUUGAAUCCCAUGCUUCUACUGCCAGGAAUCUACUUCAGGCUAAGAAAGGUUUUCGUCUUCUUCCUUUCUUCUUAUCACAUUCUUUGCUUAUUACAAUUUUUCUAAUAAUUUUGGAAGAGGGUGUGCAAGGAAGGAAUUCAGACCCUAAUCUUUGGCUUCUUUUAUGGGUUUUGUUCAUAUUGCAUUCUUUUGCAGUCUAAUUGCUUCAUUUUUUUACUGACUCUAUGCUUUUUUUUUCUGUUACGAAAUUAUUUUCUUAAGAGCAGAUUCAAUUUUGUGAGUUUCUGGAUAAUUCGUCAUGAGGUUGCUGGAAGUUUUUAUAUAUAUAGUCUCCUCCAUGGUUUCCAUUUUGCAUUAACAAUGAGAGUUCCUUGUCCCGUUUUAUUCUGUUGAUCCACUUCUAUUGUAGUGUAAAAUUAAUUGAUUUUGACUUAAAGCAGCAAUCAUGCAAAUAGUGAUAUCUAAUCAGUUGCUUGCUGAUCUCGGGCAGUUUUUUCUUUGUUGUUCAGUUAGCAUGAUAAACUUUUGUGGGUUGGGUAUUUAUCGAGAGAAAAGUAACUUUUGUUUUUUGGUAGUUCACAUCUUCAUCCACUUUGUAUAGAGGUGGUGGUGGUGGUGGAAGGGGGGAGAGAGAGAUAAGGUCUUCUCUCUUGAGAUUGAGGUGUUCAGUGUCUGUUCCUUGUUUUUAUUUUCUCUCCUCUAAAAGCUAGAGCCACAGAAAAAUUUUAGUUAAAAUGAGUUACUGCCUUUUGAUUUUGUGCAUAUUAUAAGCCAAUUUGGGUUUACUAAAAGCUCUUGUAAAAAAAUAUGAUUUGCUUUAAAGAGACUUCAUUUUCAGCAUUGUUCAUCAACACAACAGCAUUAUGUGUUUGUGGGCAAAUUGUUUGGCUCCCAAAUUUCCGUGCUAUAUUGUUUGAAAUUUAGGGCUUAUUUGAAUUAUGAGGAUUUUAAAUGCAGAGAGUUAUGAAUUUGAAAUUAUGUUGUUUUAUGAUUUUUUGCUUGAAAUACAAUUCAAUUCCAUUUUCAUUUAAAAUGCAUAUAUAUCCAAAUGAACCCUAACAUGCUUGCAUUAGUUUGAAUUGCAUACCAAUUAGUUUCAAUUGGAAGUCAGCCCUUUACUUGUGGACCUCAUUAUGAAGUUACAUUGUCAAUUCUUAAGAUUUUUAUAUUCAUAAUAUAUCUAGUAAAAAUUCAAAUAUAGUAUGUAUGUUUGCUCAUUGAGAGAACACCUCUUCAUUGGUUACAUGACUAGGUAAAGUGACCACAAAGAGAUUCAUGUGAUGUUUGAUAACUGAAAUUAUACUUUGGGCCUGUGUUAAUGCAUCGUUUGGCCACUUGCGGAGAUAAAAACAUGUGGUAAUCUAUGAGAUUUUUGCAAAUUUGUGAAGGAGAUCUUUCAACAAUAGGAGGGAUUCAAAAUGGCCAAUUGAGGAAAGUUAGAUGAUCAUAAGAUAACAAAUCGUUACUGCAGGCCAUAAGACUGGAAUACCCAACUUUUUCUCUGAUAUUCAUUUAUGGUGAUAAUGAUCAUUAAAUGUUUCAGGUUGACUGAUUACUCUUAUUGUGUGCCAUUAGUUGGGAAAUUUUGGACUUUGGUAUUUCAAAAUUUUUUAUUAAUAUAUCAAUGAUUUUAAAAUUCCCCUUCAAAAUUUUUUCUGACAGGAUUCAUAUAGCUGACCCCAAUUGGUUUGGGCUGAGGCAUGGUUGGUGUUGUUGUUUGGACUUUGGUGGCCACCUUCAUUUAUUUUAUCAUGCCAUGUGCGGCUAUAAAUAGUUAUAUAGGAUGGUGCUCAAAAUGCACUAGGUAGAGAGCAUUGGACUAAGCAAAUCAAGUGGCUUAGUAGAGAGAAAGAGGGAGGAAGAGGAGAGGAGUUUGUGAGAUACUGCACCAUGUGUAUGCAAGAGGAUAAAAUAAAAUAGUAUUUCAGCCUUGUAAUUAGUGGUAUUACUGGGUAUCUUGGCUAUGGUAGUUUUGUAUCUUCAUUAUCUAAUUAGUGAAGAUAUUUUUCAGAGUGUCUCAUGGUUUUCCCUUUAAUUAUUUCUCAUUUUGUGAUCUUAUUAUUCUCUACUUGGUCGUGUCCUACUAGCCACAUACAAGAGGGAGAAGUAUGGUAAGUACACCCUGAUUUUCCAACAUCAUCUACAUUACAUUGGUUAAAUUCGAAAGUUAGUGCGAUUAUGAAAGAGAAGAAAGUUGAUUACAGUCUCCAAUCUGUGCUGAAAAUUUUAAAAACGUGAUCUGUGCUUUUGCACACAUUGAUCAGAUGCCUCUCUUUUCAUUCAGGCCAGCAGUUCUGCUCUGGGUUUCAUAGUAGUAGGUUACCUAUCUACAUAUGCAAAUGACGGCUGGUUGAUCUACAUCUAUUCAUUUUGAUAAAAUAUUUGAUCUUGAGCCCUGGAGUGCUGGUGCAUUUUUGUGAUAUAACUAAACACACACACACCCAUGUAUAUACAUAUUGAUUAAUUGGCUCUGAUUAGGUUUCAGACUCACAACCAUUGAACUUUUAAAAUUCAGUGGUCUUAGAAAUAUAUUUAAGACUGCUGAUUUCCCGUCUUCCAUUUUUAGUUGUAACUUGCAAUUCCAUUUCAGAUUUUUAUGUGCUGUGUUCUUCUAUUUGGAAUAGCAUUCUGAUGUGAAGUUAUUGUCUUUGCGCAGCCUGCCCAGUAAACUUUGAGUUUAUGAACUAUACAAUCAUCACAAGCCGAUGUAAAGGACCUGAUUAUCUUCCUAGUAGCUGCUGUGCUGCAUUCAAGGAUUUUGCGUGUCCUUAUGCCGAUGUCAUUAAUGACUUGACCAGUGAUUGUGCAUCAACCAUGUUUAGCUACAUUAACCUCUACGGGAAAUACCCGCCUGGUCUUUUCGCUAGCGAAUGCAGGGAAGGAAAACUGGGUCUUGAAUGCCCUGCAAACCCACCAUCACAAUCGGCUAAUGAUAGUGGCAGUCAGAUUAUUCGAGAUCCAUCCCUAUUGUUGAUACUCACAUCUGGUUUCCUAGCACUGUUAGUUCACUUGUUUUGAAGGCUCAAGAAAUGAAUCUAUUAUUUUUCACCAGUAAUUGUUUAUUAACCAUGAUAGAGCUACAAUACCCUUCUUUCUAUUUGAUUGUGUUACAGUUAAAAUUAUUCAUUACUCGUACAUACCAAAAAAAUUAUUUGUAUAUUGGUUUGUUAUUUGCUACCCCAAAGUAGUAGGGAUUAGAAUUUGAUAGACCUAUAAGUACUUAAAAUUUUAAAUUUAAGGGCUCCGGUUUUAUUUGUUGAACUUCUUACAUUUGUAAUGUCAUUAUUAUAUUCUUGUAUAUUUGAGUAUGGUCUGUUUAGCUGUAAAUAAAUGAUAGAGCAUCGUUCUAUCAUUUUUUGCCUCUCAAGUCUGGAUAUGAAUCAAAACUAGCGAGUUUGCUAUCUGCCUGUGCACAUUUGGGCGCGCUAAGUCAAGAAAGAAUAAAAUUGAAAAAAAGUUCAUUAAUUAUUCAAAACCUGACGUUGUUCAUAUAUUUAUUGAUAAAGGGAGUCUAAUUUAAUAUUUAUUGACAGAGGGAAUACAGAACUAGGGCUACGAUGGUAAGUAACGACUUGAAUGGUACUCUCAUUGAUAUGUAUGCAAUUUGUAUUUUUUUGGAAAGUUAUAAUUAUUGGAAAACCCAAAGGCAUUCAUUAGAUGCUCCUUAUAGAUAUUAAUAUUGUUGUGUUUCAAUAGGAGAUGAAGCUAGUGGUGAUUGCUGGCGCCAUAGGACCAUAGGGUUGGUUGUAUACUCAUCUUCCAGAGUUUAACUUUCUGCAGAUUUUUUCUAUUAAAGUUGUCUUUUGAUAACUUUUUGUUUAAAAAAAUGGGCUAUUGAUAUGAUAUUUAAUUUUACAUAAAAAAAUAAAAUAGAUGUUCAAUAGUUUUUUGUUCUGUUUAUUUUGUGGAAGACAGAGUUCAUUAAAGUAAAUAUCAUGAGCAAGGAAGUGACUUUAUUACUGGAGACAAAAUUUAACUUGAUCAAAAAAAUAAAGGGAAGAAGAAAAAAGUAUAUAAAUAUAUAUAUAUAUAUUUAAAUAUGCUUCGGUUAUAACGCAUUUCAUUUACUCUCUUUUGUUGUUCUUUUCUCUACACUGUUAAGAAACUCUAAGUUCAGAACUAGUUACUUCUCAGCUAACUGUAACUUCUGUAAGUACCAACUGUAAGAGGAGACUAAAAGAUUUGAAGGAAAAAGGAUUGACAGAAAGGGAAAGAGAGGGAGAAGAGCAGCAGUCAUCCACCUCAUGUUAGGGAAAAAAAAAAAAAAAAAAAAAAAACGAAAAGUGCUUCAGCUAACUGUAACUUCUGUAAGUACCAACUGUAAGAGGAGACUAAAAGAUUUGAAGGAAAAAGGAUUGACAGAAAGGGAAAGAGAGGGAGAAGAGCAGCAGUCAUCCACCUCAUGUUAGGGAAAAAAAAAAAAAAAUGGUUGUAUCUGCCCCUGCUUCUUCAGAAAAGUAUUAUUGUGACAUUGAUGCUCUCGCCGUUCCAAUCUGUGCAAAUCCAUCUCUUGUUAUCCCCAAUUUCUAGCUAGUACCAUUGUUAUACUUCAGGUACUCAACAGAACAAUCUUCUUUGCUGCAAGAAGAAUCUAUAUCAGUGUUACAUUCACCAAGGAAAAUAAUUUAGAAAGAACACUACAGAUGUGAACAUUUUGCAGGUUUGGCUGUUGGCUUCAAUUUCUGAAGCAAUUCUGUUAUGAAUUCAUUUCUGAAGAAAAUUGAAUAUUUUGAUAAUGAUGACUUACUCCUUUAGUGGGAUUUAAAAUAUUUGAACUAUGAGUUACACUUAAUAUGAUAUAAGGCAAUCACAGAUUUAUUUAUUCAUUCAUUUUGAGAAUGAAGGCAAACAGAGAUGUUGAAAAUGAGGGUUUAGAUCAUAUCAAUUAAAGACCUGGGAUAUAGUAACCUCAAUAUGGGCUAAGGAAGUCUCAAAACUCACAUCACUCAAGUUUUUGUCAAAUUCACUGGUAAGAACCUCCAUUUCAAAGUUACACUAUUUAGUCUUUAUAUUAUAAUUCCGUCAUACUACAACGUCCAAUUAUUAACUUUUUCCAUUAGAUGGUUAUGAAAUAUCAAAAAUACAUUUAAGGAUAAUUAUUAUAUAAGGACUAAAUAAUGUAAAAUUAUGAAAAUUGAGUUUCUUACUAGUGUAUUUAACCAAACCGUAACUAUAUGCUAAUUAUCUUUAGAGAUACUUUUGACAUUCCACAAUCACUUAACAAAAAAAAAACUAACAGUUGGACCUUAUAGUCUAACGGAAUUAUAAUGCAAGAACUACAUAGUGUAAUUUUGAAACUGAGGUUCUUACUAGUGUAUUUGAGCAAAACCUAGGGACUACAUGGUAAUUACCCCUACUCUUAUUGAGGUGUGAAAUUUACUAUGGAUAUGAUUCAAUAAUAGAUACUUACACGACAUCUAGAUUCUCGUAAAUUGUCCAGCGAUUCAGCAAUCUCAAGUUGCUUUACAACUGCAGCUUGUACUAACUGCACAAACAGCAUAAUUAUAGAUAACAUGACCAUUUGUAUCAAAUGUCACACUUUCAGAAGUCUAAAGCUUUUAAAAAUAAGUAGAAUGAAGCAUACCCUCUUUGUUUUCUCAAGAUCAAACUCCACAGACUUUAUCCUCUCUAGAGAUUCCAUGAGCAUUUGCUCUUUUUCCAAUGGGAUUGCACCAGGCUUGUUGCUAAGUUGUUCAAAUACUUUCUCCAGCCUCUGUAGACGCUCCAUACAUGGACGGACACACUCUUCAUUCAGAGUUUCAACAGCUGAUGAAUGACUAUCAGCAUUAUGUUCCAUAAGAUUAGAGGGAUGAACGUUGCUCUGCCUCUUCCAAAAUUCAAAUGGUAAACUAUGGAAAAAAGCAAUUAGUUUGACCACAAAUGACAUCAGCAGUCUAGCCCCACAUAGAUUAUGUCUCUUCCCAAUCUUUUCCUUGAUAAGGUCCAACCAACGCAUAAUGAGACCCCCUGAAAUUGGAGUGCAAGGCAUGAAUUUUGUGAUCCAAGUUGCAAAGAUGACAAUAUGACACAGCAAUAAUAUAGGUCAGAAUCCAUAGAAGCAAGAACUGUGCCUAAAAGUCAAUUUCUAACAAUCUUCGCAAUCUUACUGAGUUAGCAACAAACUUCAUUGGAUAUGAGAAUGCUAGACGAAAAAACCUAUAUCAUUAACACGUACCUUCCAGAUUUGAUGUCGUCUGAUCGGGAAAGCUCGUCAGAUCACUGGUGUUAAGUAAUUGAUUGUCAGAAUGUUCCACUCCCAGAUUGCUUUGGGUAGUCUUCUCAACCAAAGGAAAACUAUCAUCACAACUGUAGUAGGCAUUUGGAUCUGUUGCUCUGACCUUCAAAGAUCAUAUUAUACAUACAAAAUUAUAACAAAAUCUGUACACACAAGUGUGAGCAGACAAUCCUGACAGUGAAUUUGAAUCACGAGUGACAACUUACUUCCUCAUGAACGGGGGCCAAACGUGGAAAUGUAGAACUCCAAUGGACUGGAGAUGGAUCAUCAAUAUCAGACCCUGAUUCUGCUGCCAACGUAUCACUACUUCUUCCCUAACGAACAAAGAAUAAUAUCAAAUAUCCAAAGAUAAGACAUACUAGUACCCAAAUAUGUGAGUUAUGGACGUGCCUUCUGAGGGCGUAUCUGAAUAUGUGAGUCCAAUUUAUGUUGGUCACUGGACAUUCUAGUGAUUUGCCUCACAAACUUUGCUCCCGCAUUAUGUACAAGCUACAAAAUGUAAAAAAUUGUUAGAGAAGUGACACUUAGGCUGUCCUUGUGUUUCUGGUAUUCUGCUUUCUUGUAGACUUGAACUAAAUGAUGGCAGCAAACUAAAGAUUUUGGAUUAGCUUAACUUAAGUUGUAAGUUAUAAGAAUUAGGUUGAAAGUAAGUUACAUCUUUUGUAUAAUACCCUUAUUGUUGAACAAAAAUUAGUUUGCGUUUUCUUCAGUCAAUAUUCUAAUCUUUUCUUUCCUCUACCAUUUUUUCCAACAGAAAUUGGUUAAUUUCCAAAUACAAGUUCAACUUAAAGAUACAAGAUCUCCCUUUAAUACUCAAGAAAUUUACCAUGUAAAAUAAAUGGCCAAAUACUUUAAUUAUUGGUUACCAACCUUCAUCACAUCAGGAUCAUUCCAAGGACCUUUAUUUGAUCUAAGACACCCUCCUUCAGCAUAACAAGUGCAAGAACCACCCAAAAAGUCUGGCAAUUGACUGAAAAGGAAAGAAAGGCAAGAAGUUAUGCAUGUUACAGAAAAAAAAAACGUGAAAAUGAGUUAACAGAAAAUAGACAUACCUUGCAUCAAUAACUUCCAGUAGCUUGGGCAGGGACUUGGGAUCCAGAACCUGUGAUAUAAGAAAUCAUUUGCAGUUAAUAAAGACUGGGAAAGGUCAAUUAACUAUAUGCUUGUGAUCAAAUCCUCCACCUGUAUCUUUGCAAUAGUCUUUGCAUCUAGAAGUUUCUGAGCUGCAGGCCAAAGCAUCUUCUUAAAGGCAGGACCAGCAUUAACAAUAUACAUCCUAUGCAAUGUCUGUGGAAGUUGUGGUUAACAUUCGGAAACCAAUUAAACAGAGUUUGGAAACAUUUUCUAGAAACCUUUAAUACCUCAGGGUAAUAACUAUUAUCUAUCUUUGUCAUUGCAGCCAAAAGAUUUGCAGCAGUCCGUGUGAAAUUCUUGAUGCCCUGUUUUAACAUAACAUCAAUGACCAGUUCAAAUUCUGCAUGGGACCCAUUGCAAGAACCAUAAAUGACCAGUCACCAAUAAAUGAAGAAAAUUUAUCAACAUUCUACUAAUUCACUUGAUUUCCUUAUCCUUUACCAACGCUAUUGACCUUAUAAGAAUGAUCACAAAACUCUACAGUGAGACUCUUGCAGAACUUGAAAAUGAGAGUUCAGAAUUCAAUGAACUUAGACAGUUGAUUCUCUUAUCCUUUCCCAAUUCCAUUGACUCCAUAAAUAGUGAUCCAAGAAACUUGCAAAAUGAGACUACUUUACUAGAGAAAUAAACUAGAUUCAGAAUUUUAUUAUACCAGAUUUCAGAAUUCACUUAGCUCUUCAAAGUUUAUGAAGGAGCAGGAAUAGUUUACCUAUAAUUUUCUGGGUGUCAAAUUCCAUACAAUAGUAGCAAGAAUUCUAUUAUAAGAUUCUAUAGUUACCAAAUUCAAUUUGAAAAGGCAUAUCUAGGAUGCAAUUCAACAUACCAAGCCAUGUACAUCCAAUAUCGUUGUCGUUGAACAUAUCUGUCUCCUUGCAGCAAUAGAACAUGCAGGGAAUUUCUCCAGCAGAGCCCUCUCAAACUCUUGAACAUGGUACUUCAAAUAUCGAUCUACAGUAGUGAUUCGCAUCAGCUUACUUGGAUGAGCUUUUCCAAGCAUUUCAAUGUAAACUGGCCGGCCUUCCUUGUCAACUCCAUGGUAACCCUGAGGGUAAUAUUGCAAAACCUCUUCCAGCUCUUCAAACUCAAAAUCCUAAGCAUUAAGUUUUGCUUCAGCAUGCAGCUAGAGUUGAAUGACAAAAGAACUAAAAAAUUUGUAAUUCUCACAGGAACAAUUUCUACUGUAUAGGACUAUGCGUAACCAUCAGGUCAAAUGCUACAAAUGUGCUCCCAAUUAGAAUUUACCUACUGCUGCAGCUCCAAGUUUGUAUUGAGAAAUAUUUCCAUCUACAUUGAGGAAAUAUUCUAGAAAUAACCUUCUCCUUAUAAAGAGUAAAUUUCUACAUGCUAACUCGUAAGUGAAGCAAGAAGAACAAAGUUAGAGGCAUAAACUUCAAUACCUCCAAUAUAGUGUCUGUUCCAUACUCUUUCCUCCAAUUAAGCAUUUCUUCCCACAUCUGGAUUGUUCUUUCUAUGUUAAACUCUCUAGCUUUCAAAAAUCUACAAAGAGUAAAAUAAUUUUAUCAAUAAGUGAAUGCACGAUGGGCCAUUUGUACUGUCCAACCGCCAGGUAAAGCAGUGGGCCUCCUUCAUGAUGGAUUUACACUACAUGUCAAAAAAAAUGGCAGACUGACCUUAGCAAAGUAUGAUACUCAUCGUGCCUAGGAGGCAACAAAUCCCUUUCAAGAAGCUUUUGUCGCAAUUCUAAUACAGCACUCUCCUCCUUUUCAUCCCUUAUAUCCUCAAUAGAAACUGAAGAAACUCUAUAAUCAAUUUUCCUUUUUCCUCUUUUCUUAAGAGAAUGAGUGAACUUAUUUGAAGCAUUUAAUGCCUUCUUCUUGAGAGUGCCAAUUUUCGAUCUCCUUCUCUCAUCUUCAGAAUUCUCAAAAUCAGAUCUCCUCUCUCUGAUUUCAUCAUUGAACCCAUUUCCUUCUAGGCCUUCAAUAAGACAAUGAGUAGUUAAAAACCAAUAAUUAUUAGUCUAAGAUUAUCUUAAGCAUCAUACCCAAGUUAUGCAUUCCAUAACUAACACUUCAAGGAUCAAUCCUAUGAAAGCUAAACUUACCUGACAUUUGUGUGAAAUGUGGACGGAAACCCUAAUUUCCUGAGGAGGGAAGUAGAUUCACAGUAACCUUGCAGACAUAUGUGCAGGUCUUAACUGUCACAAAGAAAACCAGAAAGUAAUAAUCAAUACGCUGAAGACUUACAAAGAAGAAAAAGUGCCAGCAAGACUGAUAAAUUCUAUCCACCAAACGACUGUCCUCAGAAUUUUUACUGAAAAACGUAAAAUACAUAAAACCAAUUACCAAUCUAAAUUGAGAAAUAUAUGUACACCGAAGCUCUCUAGACUAUCAUCUCUCACAACUCUCUCGCACGAUAAGCAAUCUCUAAAAUCAACUUAAACAAAUACAAUCUUAAUAUCUUGAAGAUAAUAUCUGAAAAAUAAAAGGAUCUGUACUAGCUAAAUCUUGAAAAAAAAUGGAAAAGAGUAAUUCAAAAUUUAUCCGUUUCUCACCAUUUAAACAUACCAAGAAAAAUUUCAGGACUUUAUUCCAAACUCAGUUAACCAGUGAUGCUGUGAAGUCUAAAGAAAUAAAGGGUUACACUAGUUCAUUGAUCAUGUAAUAAACCCAUCAUCAAAACCUCGAAAGAAAGAACCAUAAUGAGCUCUAAAACUCAUAAAUUUGAGAGAAAAAAAAGUAAAAAACCGUUACAAUCAGAGGUACAUAAAACCAUCACUUGUCACAUUUAUACCACUGUAAAGCUCUCAAACCUGAGACCGCAUUAAAUCUCACCAAUGCCGACACUCACAGUACGGAUCUCACCCAUAACUUCACCAUUAAUGAAACCAAAAGAAAGAUAAGAGCAACUUUAAUAGCUUAUUCAAUGAUAACCCGAAACGCACCGAAUAAAAAAAAAAACUCCAAAUGAAUCUGAAGAGGUAAACCUACACGCAUGGAUUCACGCGCGAAGAAGACGAAGACGAAGAAGAAGAGAAGUAAAGCAAAACAGGUAAAGGUAGAAUUUCUCUCGAGAAACACGGAGAGGAGAGGAGAGGAGAGAAAAAAAAUUUUUCUUUUCUCGAGAAAAUUUAAUUUUCUCGAGAAAAGGAAUGAAAAACAAAAACAAAAAAAGGACGGAUCUGAAAUUAUUGUGUUUGUGUUUGUUAUGUUUCUCCUCUGUUCUCCUUCUUUCUCUUCUCUGUUACUUUCCUUUGGUUUGGAGUUUGUUUGUUCGCUUUUUUGGUUUCUCUCUAAAAAAUUAAAUAAAAAAUUAUUUAUUUAUUUGAGUAUUAAAUACUGUCUGUUUCUUUUAUUAAUAAUUUAUAAUAUGCUUUGCUUUUUCAGCCUAUUUAUUCACCGCUGGUCUCAUGUGGUUCUCUGCUUUACGUGUCGUCUUGUUGAUUAAUUAAUUGUCUGAGUUAACUUUUAAAAUUAAAAAUAAAUUAACUUGAAAGUUAUUAGUAAAUUUUUAAUUUUUAAAAAUAAACUAUAUAUUUUUAAUGUAGCAUAGUUAUUUUGAGCCAUAUAUACCAAUAUUAUUGUAAAAUUUUAUUUAAUAUAUAUCAUUAUUAUUGUUAAUAAAUUAAAUCAAAUCAACUAUAGAAUUAAAAUAAUUUUUUUAGCAAAAAAUAAAUAAAUUUUUACUUGUAAAUUAUAAUAUAAAAAUCGUUGUUUAAAAGAUUAUUUGAUAAUAUUUGCUUUUAAUACGGUGGCUAAAGAUAUAAGUUAAAGGAAAUUCUUUUGUUGUUAAUUAUAAUAAAACUGUACGAAAUUGUAAUAUCUAGAAUAGUUUAUUCUUGUUCUAAAUUAUAAUGGACUAGUUAUAUAUCCACAGACAGAAUACAAGGAUUAUAUAAUUUUAUUUAUUUAAAUGGAAUAAUUUUAUAUUUGUGUUUAUUUAAUUUAAAUAAUUUGAUCAAAUAAUAGAGAUAAAAUUAUUAUUUUUUUUAAUUUCCAAACAAUAAAUUGAAAUAUUUAUCACCACAAUAAAAUAAUUAUAAUUCAACUGAUAUAAUUAUUUAUUUAUUAAAAUUUUAUAUACUCAAUUGAAAUGCUUGUUGAUUUAUUAUUUUUAUAAUUGAAUAAGGUAUAGCAAAAUUUAUUUUUAAUACCAAAAAUUCGAAUGAAUUGAAAUUAUAUUUUAAUUUCAUGAAUUAACCGUAUUAUUACAACUGUGUUCUUUAAUUAAUGUUUAUUAAUUAUAACUCCAUUAGAUUCUAUUAGUUUGUAAUCACAAUAUUUUAGAAAAAAAAUUUAAUAUUUAUGAAAUGUUAACUCCAUUAGAUUUCAUUUGUUUGUAACUCCAUUAUUUAAUAAAAAAAACUUAAUGUUUAUUAGAUGCAAAGAAAAAAAAAAGACUAAUUAAAACGAAAAGAAAUAUUUAAAAGAAAAAUUAACAAUUCAUUAAUAAUGAAUAAAGUUUGAGUACAUCAUAAUAUUUUUAUAGGAAUAAUAAAUACAAAUAUAAAAAAUUAAAAUCUUCUGUUUAGAUAUGUUUUUGAUCUUCGCAUAAAAAAUUAAUCUUCCAGGUAAAAAUUGAUUCAUUUUUAAAUAGGAUGAUAAAAUAAACUUUCCAUAAUAUUGUCUCGAAUAUUAUUUUUUCAGAAAUUUAUUACAAUUGACACGCACAGAAGCGUUUAAUUUACUAAAUUUUAAUUGAGAAAUAUGUCAUACUAUCAGAUUUAUUGGUAAAAGAAAUUUAUCCGAACUUGAAGAUCUGAAGUUUUCAACUACAAGUAACCAAUAAUCCAUCUUAUAUUUCGAACCGUCAUAAAAACAAAAAAUCGACGUAAAAUUCUUCAAUAUAAAAAAGAGAAAGCCAGAGAGACACGACUAGAGUUUACAGGGGCAUUUGUUUAAAAAAAAAAAAUGUUACAUUAUCCCAUUAACAAUGCAUCAUCGCUUUCAUAAUCUAAUACGGUGUCUCGUCAUCGUCAAUGCUUUGUAUAUAUUUAUAUAAACCUUCAUUGUUAAUUACAAAAUAAAAUUGCAAGUUACUAACGAGUGAUUUUUUUUUUUUUUAGAUAAUAUUUAACCAUAAAUUUUUUUUUCGAGCUUUGAGUCACAUUUAAUUAUAGUAGCUCAUCGUACUUAUAAAAGUUAAUGUAUUUAUAUUAUAAUUUUUGUCAUUUUAUUUAUUUUUACAAAUUCACUCAUUAAGUUUUUCAUAUUCCAUCCUUCUAAAUUUUUUUUUUAAAAUAUAAUAGAAUAUGAAAUUAUAUAAAUAUAACUUUUUUUUUAUGGCUUGCUCCAAAUCAUUGUCUUAUUUCUCCUUUUAAAAUAAAAUAAUCUCUGUAGUUUUUUAUAUUAUUAUUUAAUAUUCAUUUAUAUGAUUCUAUCAUAAAUAUAUUAUUAUUAUUACCAUCAAUGAAAUAUUAAAAAUGCGAAUUAGACGGUGAUUUGAUUGGUUUUCUUACGUAAGUGAGAAGUGGGAAGUCUCGACUUCGAGUCCUCUCGAUCACAGUUAUUUUCACUAAUUUAGUUAGUCAAAGGGAAUGCUAGUUAUAUACAUUUUGUGUUAGUGAAGGAGUUUGGGUUAAUAGUAUGAACAAUCUCUAUUAUUAUUUUUAAUAUUUUUAAAUUAUUUCUUUAAUUGAUAAUAAAUAAUAUUUAAAAAUCAAUUUUUUUGAUAUAUGAAUUUAAAAAAAAAAGAAUAUAAUUAUAUGAUAAAAAAAUGUUACAAUUUCUAAUAGUUUUGGAGUCAAAUAAAUUGAUAGUAGCUUUUAUAAUUUUUUAUAUUUUAUUUUUUCAAAAAAAAAAAAAGAGUUCAUGCAUCAAAUAAUUAAUUUUUAAAUAUUACUUAUUAUCAAUAAAAGAAAGAAUUUAAAAAUAUUAAAAAUAAUAAUAGAGAUUGCUCUUACUGUUAACCUAAAUUUUCCCAUUUACACAAAUGUAUUAAGUUAAUCUAAGUCCAAGAUCAAGAGUUAAUCUAUUUUUUAUUUACAAUUUAAGUCUUAAAACAAAAUAUCAAAGUUCACAGUGAAAUUAGUAUAAGAGACAAAUUGGAGUGAAAUUGUAAUAAAAAUUUAAAGUUCUAAGUGAAAUUUGUAUAAAGGUCAAAUUAUAAUGAAAUUAUAAUAAAACUUAAAAUUAAGGGUGAAACAAUAUAUUAAGCUAAUUAAAAUAUACGACAUAAUAGAUAACAAAAAUAGGAUAAUGAACUUGAUAAAAUAUAUGAAUUUUUUAAAAUAAAGGACUAAACAAACUCCUUAGAGAUUUACCAAACAAGGCUCUAAGAUUAAGAGGCUAAAUAAAGAAAAAAACAUUAUUUGGAAAAUAAAUCUAUAAAAAGAAAAAAUUGGAGCUAGUGCUCCUAAUUAUGUCAAGUGUGUCUGAUCUUUCUUUAUUGACCUUAUUAUUCUUUUUUUUUUUUUUUUUUGAACGGUACCUUAUUAUAUUCAACUUAGUUUUCAUGACAAUAUAAAAACUUUAAAGUUAAUAACUAUUUACUAAAACAGUUAAUAUUAUCGAACAUGUCUUAAAAAAAGAAUAAAAUUAAUAUUCUUACCAACUAUACACUUAAAAUGUAAUUGUGGAUACAAAAUCAGUUAUCCAGUUUGAAACAAUUAAAUAAAAUACCAUUGAAAAAAUAUUAAUUAUUAAAAAUUGAUAAACAGUAAUUUAAGCAAUUUUAAUUUAUUUUUUGAAUUGAAGUAGUUUAAUGAUGUUUUGAUCCUUAUGCAAUUACAUCAAAUACAGAAAAUGUUGACUAUGGAUGGAAGCAGGGAAUACCCUUGAAUUUUGAACUAUAUUUAUAUCCUUAAACGAGGUAGGAUAUCCGCAAAUUUCAAUUAUCUAAAUUCGAACUUAUUUAAAAUGCAUUCUUUACUAAUAAAUGGGUAGGAUAUCCGUGGAUAUCUAUGGCGAAAACCGUUUAUUAUAGCAGAAAAUGGAUAACGAGUAUCCAAAGUCUUUAUUCUAUUUAUAUUUGUUGUGAAUAGUAAUUUUAUUAUGCGUAUUCAUCUCAAACUCAUUUAUAAUUAUCCGUAACUUUAUUAAAUGAUCGAAACGGAAUGAUUAUCCUAAAAUAUGGAUCGGUUAUCCUAAAAUAUCUGUCUGACUUUCAUUCCUAAUGUUUGACAAAGGAAAUUAGGAUUGUUGAUAAUAAAUUUGAUUAACAUAAAUCUUUGGAAUGUUUGUUUAUUUUUUAAACUUUGGUCAAAAUUAAAAAAGUAAUUUUAAAAUGGAUGGGAAGCAAAAGCGGACCGACUGGAGCGAGGAGGAUACAUUUUUUGAGAAAGCAACGGCGUGCAGGCAGCGUUCAUUUUUCACCUUUUUAGCUGUUUUAGUUUAGAAUCUCGCGCUAGCUUCUUUUUUUAUUUUAUUAUUAUCUAAUUGGAAUAUGAAAUUCUAUGUUGCGUAUUUAUGCAUUCUUGUGCUGAAUAAAGCUAUCCUGACCUUAGCUUAGGAACAGAGGUGAGCUCUUCUCAUAGAACCUAAUAAAUUUCAACAUAGAAAUGCCUACUUUUUAUUAUUUUGAAAAAUGAAGUCCCUUCUCUUCCACUUAAAUUAAAAUCUACAAUAAUCCCUCCAUUUUAUUAAAGGUAACAUAAUUUUAAAAAAAUAAACAAAUCAAAAUUACCAUUUAUCAAUUAUCUAAAUAAUAUUUCUCAAAAAAAAUCUAAAAUAAUUAAUGAAUGCUUACUUAGUCAGGAUACAAGAUAUAAAAAUAAAAAAAAUAAAAUUUCCUUAAUUUUUUGAGUGACAGAUAACAUAAUUCUGUAUCUUUUAAUUAAAGAGAAUAUAAAAAUUAAUUAGUCAAUUUGCAGAUUUUUUUUGGUAAUAUGUAAAUGAUUAUUUUUGUCGAAUAAAAAAUUGUCUCACCAAAGAGGAAAUUCUUAUAUAAUAUGAAAAACUAAUUAAAAAAUAGAAAUUUUAAUUAAAUAUUAAAAAAAAAAGAAAGAAAAGAAGGCAAAACAACUAUCAGUAAGUUUAAGGGAUGAAAAGUUGGAUCCUUUAAGCAAAUUUCAUGGUUUGAAUCCUAACACUGUGAAUAAAAAAAAAAAAAAAAAAACUAUAUUAGGUAAAUCGCUUUCAUAAUGGACCGCCGCUCACCGGACGUUUUACCUGAAAACAAAAGAAAAUAAAGAUGGCGGAAGAGGAUGCUUUGCGUUAGGAUUUAGGAGCAAAAGUAGAGUGAGACUGAGGCUGGGUGAUUGGCUAAUCCUAUUGCCAUAGUGCCAUUCCUCGGGAAAAUCAAGAAUCGUGCUCCCGUAUUCUUUGAUAUAAGAGAAUUCUUUUAGUAGAUCAUAAUAAUAAAGAUAAUUAAUUAUUUGGUCCCUCAUGCUUGGUCUUAAUUAUAGUUUCCCCCCUUCUAUUUGAUAAAUAUAAUUAUUUGUCCUUAAGAUAUAGUCUCUUUAAAUUAUUUAGUCUUUUCGUUUAAAAACUAUUUAUUAAGGAUUAACGUAAUUCACAUUAAAUAUGGUGUUCCUGUUUAUUAUCUCAUAUUUAUUAUUGAAUUAAUAAUUAAUAUAUUAUUUAAUGUCAAAAAUGACAAUUAUCAAAUAAAAUGAAAUUUCAUGAACUAAUUAAUUUGUAUAUAAUAAUGAUAAUAAUAAUUAAUAAAUUUACUUAUAUACACGCACAUGUACACACGUAUAUAACUAUCUAUCUAUUACUCAUACUAGAUCAACCUCCUGCUCCUACACAUUUCUUUACAUGUCUAUAUAUAAUGUUUUCAACGUGUAAUAUCCUUUAUUUAUAUUAUCUAUACUUUUCAUAAAAAGAAAGAGAUGCUAGAUCUUGAACAUCUUGUUGUAAUUUAAAUUAUUUUCUUCUUUUAAGAAAGUGUUCUAUGAAUAUUACUUACCUAUAAUUAUAUUUAUGAUUGGGAAGGAGAAGGAAAAUAUUAAAAGUUGUUUACUUGUAAAAGUUCGUUGGAGUACUUGUUUAUAAAAAAUUUUCUAAAAAUUUGAAAAAUAGAGUUCUGUAUUCAAAUUAGUUAUGAAAUUGAAAAAUAGUUUUACAAUUUUUCAAAACUUAACUAAGAUUUGAACAAUAAUUUUUAAAUUAUUUUUCAUAGUUUUCUUGUGUAACAAAAUCAUGUUUCCUUACUAUUUUCCAUUUAAAAAAUGAUGUUUUCAUAAUUAAAGUUAUAAUAUCUAUAACUUUUCUACAAAAUAUUUUUAUGAAAAAAUAAAAAUAUUUAAAUAACUUAAUUAAAUAUUUUUAUUUUUUUAAUUAUAUAUUAUCUUUUAUUAUAUAAUUAAUUUUAUUAUUACAAAAAUAUAUUUUACUUAUAUUCUUUAUGUUUAAAAAAAUUUUAAAUUACGUUUCAUCCACAUUAAAUCAAGUAUAAAUUUGUCACGACCCAUUUCCAUGGACCGGACCGGCCCUAGGACCUGGGUGGGCUUAAGGCCCCCGAAGCCCGUAGUAAGCCUAACUUAUUUAAAUCUCACCUUCUAUUCAUAAUUAUAGAUUCAGGCCCAUUAACUCAAAAUGCAGUUCAUAUAUUUAAUAUGGACUUUUACUAUUUAUUUACAACCCAACUGGAAUACAAUUGCGGAACUCUACCUUUAUAUUUACAUCGUUAUUUCUAUCAUUAAAAGUCUUCUACAAUAAGUGUCUCAACUCCACAAGGCUUUUAUUUCUUUCUAUUACCUGAAAAAAAAAUAGUAGGCAGGGGUGAGCGCCAAACUCAAUGAGUAGGGUUAGAUAACCCUCUCACCCCACACAAUCACACAGAAGCUAAAUAUUUUUAUCUAGUUACCGUUUAAUUAUAUGAUCAUGCAGUUUGUCACACAAAUGGCAAUACAGCAGCAAUCACAAGUAUCAUCACCUUCAUAUAAUCACAUCACGUGGAAAUUAGUCAGUGGCACCACCUGAAACCCCAACGAGCCGUCCUCACACAUGGCUCGCCCUCUCAUACAUGUGCACC